ACAUCUCAAACACGAGCCAUUUCACAAAAUCCUCGGCGCUUGAAACACUUCAUCCUUCUCCAAUCGCACUCUUGAUAUUCAUCCUUUCAUCUAAAAAAAGAUCAAUCAAAGCUCAAACAGAAGCUGAAUCCGACUCACCAAGAUCCAUCAUCUCCAAUGCUUACAUAUGGAAACAAUCAAAACAAUAACACAAUUGCAUCGUGAAAUUGAGAUAAAUCAUGGAUUGAAGUAAUAAGAAGAACUCACCGGUUUGAAAUCGUUGAAUCAAUUUGAUUGUGCAUGCAGAAUCAGAGCUUUGCCGCAAACAGGUACAAAUGAAUUCUUUCUCCUUCCUAUGCCUCAUUUGUGUUGAUGAGUUUGUAGAGAAUUGGGAGAGAAAAUCAGAGACUGGAGAGUAAUUACAGUGCUUUGAUCUCCAGUUGUAGCAUGAAAGAGAGCUCGAGAUGCAGAUUGCAGAAUGGAAAACUCUGAUGCAGAAUGAAGAAUUUGAUAGGUAGAAUGAAAAAAUCUGAUGCAAAGUGAAGACUUUGAGAUGCAAAAUGAAAAACUCUGAUGCAGAGUAAAGAACUUGAGAUGCAUAAUGUGUUUAAAUAGCCAAAGUUGUUAGAAAUUCAUCCUCAAAUUACUUUGAAAUUCACUUCAAAUUGAUUUGAAAUGCAAAAAUAGUUAGAGGUUAGUUAGCUAGCUUAUCUGUCAGUUAGAAAUUCUCACUGAGUUAGUUGUUAGUAAUGAAAAUUCUAAUUAUUUGUUAUGCAGUUAGUUUCAAUUAUGUUAAUUAUUAUUCAAUUGUUGAUUUGCUAUUGGAAAUUAGUUGAAAUUCUCAUUAGCUUUGAAAUAAAUAGUUAGUGUGAAGAAGACUAGAUUUUUGAAACUGAUUAGUUGAAAAUUAGUUUUGUUUUGUUAAUUUGAAAUGGAUACUGAGUUGGUAUAACGAUUGCAGGGACAUGAAUCAAUUUUGCAGGGUACUUUCUUGUUGUGGAUAUGUUAUGUUUGGAUUGAUAACCUUUGAAUUGUCGUACAUUGGUCGGGCUAACAUUGACGAACGACUUUGGUGGGAACUAAUGUAACUUUAUUGUUUUUGGGCUUCAAUGUUACUUGUUUAUUGCAGCUACAUUCUUAUGCUGCAAGAUUGUAGAAUUGACGCUUAUAACUGUUGGUGUAAACCCUAGAGACCAAUACUUUUUCUUUAUUAUGUUUGUUUAAUAAAGUCCAUAGAAUAGAUAAUCCGUUUAAUGUAUCAAGUGUGACCUAAUCAUGAGAUCACAUUAAACAUAAGGACAUUAUUCUUAAAGUAUCCGUAGUCGAGUUUUAUUGUGAAGUGGGAUAACAUUAAAGCAU
rnacentral:lncRNA from 1 species